UACGUAGGUGGCAAGCGUUAUCCGGAAUUAUUGGGCGUAAAGCGCGCGCAGGCGGUUUUUUAAGUCUGAUGUGAAAGCCCACGGCUCAACCGUGGAGGGUCAUUGGAAACUGGAAAACUUGAGUGCAGAAGAGGAAAGUGGAAUUCCAUGUGUAGCGGUGAAAUGCGCAGAGAUAUGGAGGAACACCAGUGGCGAAGGCGACUUUCUGGUCUGUAACUGACGCUGAUGUGCGAAAGCGUGGGGAUCAAACAGGAUUAGAUACCNUGGUAGUCAAGGCUG
rnacentral:rRNA from 1 species